UACGUAGGGGGCAAGCGUUGUCCGGAAUCAUUGGGCGUAAAGAGCGUGUAGGCGGCUCGGUAAGUCCGCUGUGAAAGUCCAGGGCUCAACCCUGGAAUGCCGGUGGAAACUGUCGAGCUAGAGUCCGGAAGAGGCGAGUGGAAUUCCUGGUGUAGCGGUGAAAUGCGCAGAUAUCAGGAGGAACACCAAUGGCGAAGGCAGCACUCUGGGACGGUACUGACGCUGAGACGCGAAAGCGUGGGGAGCAAACAGG
rnacentral:rRNA from 1 species